GACAAACGCUGGCGGCAUGCCUAACACAUGCAAGUCGAACGGACAGAACAGGGAAGCUUUUCGGAGUGGAACUGGAAAGUUAGUGGCGGAUGGGUGAGUAACGCGUGGACAACCUACCUUGUAAAGGGGAAUAACCUCGAGAAAUCGAAGCUAAUACCCCAUAAUAACCUUGCUUCGCAUGAAGUAAGGAGGAAAGGCGGCCUUAGCGCUGUCGAUACAAGAUGGGUCCGCGUCUGAUUAGCUAGUUGGUGAGGUAAAGGCUCACCAAGGCGACGAUCAGUAGCCGGCCUGAGAGGGUGAACGGCCACAUUGGGACUGAGACACGGCCCAAACUCCUAUGGGAGGCAGCAGUGGGGAAUCUUCCGCAAUGGGCGAAAGCCUGACGGAGCAAUGCCGCGUGAGUGAAGAAGGCCUUCGGGUUGUAAAACUCUGUCCUUAUCGAAGAGAGAGUGUUGUAGUAACUGACAAUACUAGGACGGUAGAUGAGGAGGAAGCCCCGGCUAACUAUGUG
rnacentral:rRNA from 1 species